UGGUUGAGCACUGUGAUGGGGGGAAGUGGCUGACUGUGUGUCUCAUUGGCUGGCUGCUUCCUGAUGGGGCUGCAUCAAGUCUCCCAUUUCCACUUUGGCUAAGAGUUUGCUGAGGGCCACCAGUUUGCAACUUCUGCCUGAAAGGAAAGUAGAACUUGGCUGGAAGACAGAAUUAUGAAGAGACCAGAUAUAGAGUGAGAAAGAAAAAAAAAAGUACAUCCUUUGGGCUGAGCUAUUUCUAGCAUGAAAACAGGCCAACUUAUUUUUUAUUUAUUUUAUCUCCUAAUUGAUUCCAUAUUAUCAGCCCCUGGACCUUCUCAAAGCUGCCAUGUUUUCCACACUUGAGUAGGAGAUUUGUCCUCAGGCACAGAAUUUCUGGGCCAGUUCUUGCUAAAAUGUCACAGUUUUCAUAGUUAUAAUUCAUCACACUCAAGCACCCAUGGAAACAAUUGUCCACAACAUGAACUCAGAGAUCCAAAGUAAAAAUGUUUUUCUCUGCCAUAAUAAACAUCUCCUUGUGGAA
rnacentral:lncRNA from 1 species